CAUUAAAGAGCGAUUCCACAAUGAAACCUAACAAGAUGUGCAGACCGUUUGACCAAAGCUCAGGGGGACAUUUUAAAGUUUGAAUCCUCAGAUAACAGUUUAUCAUGUAAAUCGUUUUGGUAGAUUUUUCUGAUUUAAAUCUGUCAGAUUGUUGCAGCGGCGGAUCACUGCGGCCUCCCGUCGUCCGGAUGGAGACGGCCUUUUAUUUCUGCGCCGCCGCUGUCAGAUCCGCUGUGUAUUUAAUAACGCUGAGCUGUUCGAUGCCCUCUGCUACGGGUUACUCUGCCUUGUGCUAUCCUCUGUGGCGGGACAAUUUCAGAGUGUCCAAAGCCGAUUCUGUGCGCUUGUUAAUUGAAUCGGAUUUCUUAUAGUUUAAAAUCCAAGCGCGCACACCCACAUGCGCACACACAGAUCCAUGUCGCUGCAGCCCAAACUGUAUAAGGGGUUUAUCUGGCUCAUGGAGCCAAAGCAGAGAUAUAAAGACACUCCAACAGAGACACGGACGCGUUCAAACCUUUCCAAACCUUAACUAAAGAUUCUGUAGCAGCUGCAGAAGAUGCGCUGUGUUCCGGCCUACCGCGCGGCUGUGCGCUCACGUUUGGAUACAUCUGCGCGUGCAUCGCAGCCUCCGCAGGAUUGGUAACAAAAGAACAAGCAGAACCUUCUCUGAUGGACGGAAAGUCUUUCCGGCAGAUAACGUCUAGUAAAGGACAUCCUGGAUGGGCCACAAGUCCAUCAAAGGGUCAUCCAGAGGCCACCUGAAAAUCUGCAGCGUUCACAUGACUGACUUCUCAUCCACAUUAGGUGAACGUGGAACAGUGGACUCGCUCAGUCGCUGUAUCCAGCAGAUCUCAGAAGAACGUCCUGCAGCUAAACAGAUAGAUGGAGGAAAUAUUCUUCUGCCAAGAAAAACAAAGCGGAACCUGGUUCACCUGUAGGCUCCAUGACCUACAAGUCAGGAUAUAAACCCAGGGGUCAUCAUGGAAGUAGUAAUAAUGGACUCUGGACCUUUAACGGUCACCAUAAAUCCAUAGAACCAUCAGCAUUUUACCAUCUUCAAAGCAGAAUCAAAGAUUCGGUCCAAACCAGAGACUUAGAUUCACACGCUCAUUUCCAGCAGGUUCUGGACUCAUCAAGGAGCUGCAAAGAACAGCUGUUCCUCCAGAACCUUCUGCUCGGGUUUGAACUAAAACCAGGAAGAACAAUGGUCCCGUUUUCAGGGCUUUGCUUUCUGUUGCUUAAAGAACAGACUUAAAAACAUCUCUCCAAGGUUUAGCAACAAGCAGGAACAUCUCUGACGGCGUGUUGGUCCCACAUGAACCAGCUGAGAUGCUCAAGAACAGACAUCUACUGGAGUCCACGGUCAGCCUUAAACACGGUGAAGUUUCAUGAAGAUAAAAUCUGAAACUGUUUCCUGAAGACUUUAAACCAACUUCGACUCUCACAAUGUUCACGUCCAGAACCAGAACUGUUGUGCGGUGAAGCUUAAGGUCUUUUCUUUGCUCUGUUGUCUUUACUGUGGUCUCAAAAUGAUUUGAGUUUAAAUGUUGGAUUUUACAGUUCUACUUGGGAUUUUUGUGCCUUUGUUGUUGUAAAUAACCUAAUGUAUGAGUUUACUGUACAAUAAACCCCACCGGCCUUUUAGA